UACGUAGGGUGCGGGCGUUAAUCGGAAUUACUGGGCGUAAAGCGUGCGCAGGCGGUUCGUGAUGUCUGGUGUGAAAGCCCCGGGCUUAACCUGGGAAUUGCAUUGGAAACUAGCGGGCUGGAGUGUGGCAGAGGGGGGUGGAAUUCCACGUGUAGCAGUGAAAUGCGUAGAGAUGUGGAGGAACACCGAUGGCGAAGGCAGCCCCCUGGGCUAACACUGACGCUCAUGCACGAAAGCGUGGGGAGCAAACAGG
rnacentral:rRNA from 1 species